AGUUUGAUCCUGGCUCAGAACGAACGCUGGCGGCAGGCUUAACACAUGCAAGUCGAACGCCCCGCAAGGGGAGUGGCAGACGGGUGAGUAACGCGUGGGAAUCUACCGUGCCCUGCGGAAUAGCUCCGGGAAACUGGAAUUAAUACCGUAUACGCCCUACGGGGGAAAGAUUUAUCGGGGAAGGAUUGGCCCGCGUUGGAUUAGCUAGUUGGUGGGGUAAAGGCCUACCAAGGCGACGAUCCAUAGCUGGUCUGAGAGGAUGAUCAGCCACAUUGGGACUGAGACACGGCCCAAACUCCUACGGGAGGCAGCAGUGGGGAAUAUUGGACAAUGGGCGCAAGCCUGAUCCAGCCAUGCCGCGUGAGUGAUGAAGGCCUUAGGGUUGUAAAGCUCUUUCACCGAUGAAGAUAAUGACGGUAGUCGGAGAAGAAGCCCCGGCUAACUUCGUGCCAGCAGCCGCGGUAA
rnacentral:rRNA from 1 species